rnacentral:rRNA from 1 species
AUUGAACGCUGGCGGCAUGCUUUACACAUGCCAGUCGAACGGUAACAGCACUUCGGUGGCUGACGAGUGGCGAACGGGUGAGUAAUACAUCGGAACGUGCCUAGUAGUGGGGGAUAACUACUCGAAAGAGUAGCUAAUACCGCAUGAGAUCUAAGGAUGAAAGCAGGGGACCUUCGGGCCUUGCGCUACUAGAGCGGCUGAUGGCAGAUUAGGUAGUUGGUGGGAUAAAAGCUUACCAAGCCGACGAUCUGUAGCUGGUCUGAGAGGACGACCAGCCACACUGGGACUGAGACACGGCCCAGACUCCUACGGGAGGCAGCAGUGGGGAAUGUUGGACAAUGGGCGCAAGCCUGAUCCAGCAAUGCCGCGUGCAGGAUGAAGGCCUUCGGGUUGUAAACUGCUUUUGUACGGAACGAAAAGCCCUCUUCUAAUACAGGAGGGUCAUGACGGUACCGUAAGAAUAAGCACCGGCUAACUACGUG